GGCACUGUGGCGGAGCGGUCUAACGCGUAUGACUCGAAUUUAUGAUUUUACUUAAGUACUAUCAUGUAGAUACGAUAGUAUCAUAUCUCCUAGGAGGCGCCCGUUCGAAUCGGGCCAGUGUCG